rnacentral:rRNA from 1 species
GACGAACGCUAGCGGUGUGGCUUAGGCAUGCAAGUCGUGCGCGAAAGUCUUCGGACGAGUAAAGCGGCGAAAGGGUGAGUAACACGUAACCAAUCUACCCCUGAGACUGGAAUAACCACUGGAAACGGUGGGUAAUGCCAGAUGGUCCAUCCUGGAGGCAUCUCCGGGCUGGUAAACGGUGGCGCAAGCUGCUGCUCGAGGAGGAGGUUGCGGACUAUCAGCUAGUUGGUGAGGUAACGGCCCACCAAGGCUAUGACGGUUACCGGGUCUGAGAGGACGGUCCGGCACACUGGGACUGAGACACUGCCCAGACUCCUACGGGAGGCUGCAGUCGAGAAUCUUCCGCAAUGGGCGAAAGCCUGACGGAGCGACACCGCGUGCAGGAUGAAGGCCUUCGGGUUGUAAACUGCUGUCAGGUUCUAGGAAUGACAUGGUGUUAAUAGCGCCAUGUUUGACCAAG